rfam:Eubacterium sp. CAG:161 genomic scaffold, scf23
CUCUUAUUCAGAGUGGUGGAGGUACAAGGACCGAAGAAGCCACGGCAACCCCGACAUUUGUCAGGAAGGUGCCAACCUGAGCAGACACAAGUUUGAUCAAUAAGAG